GAGUUUGAUCCUGGCUCAGGACGAACGCUGGCGGCGUGCCUAAUACAUGCAAGUCGAGCGGAUGACGAGGAGCUUGCUCCUCUGAUUCAGCGGCGGACGGGUGAGUAACACGUGGGCAACCUGCCUGUAAGACUGGGAUAACUUCGGGAAACCGGAGCUAAUACCGGAUAACUCAUGAGACCACAUGGUCUUAUGAUAAAAGAUGGUUUCGGCUAUCACUUACAGAUGGGCCCGCGGCGCAUUAGCUAGUUGGUGAGGUAACGGCUCACCAAGGCGACGAUGCGUAGCCGACCUGAGAGGGUGAUCGGCCACACUGGGACUGAGACACGGCCCAGACUCCUACGGGAGGCAGCAGUAGGGAAUCUUCCGCAAUGGACGAAAGUCUGACGGAGCAACGCCGCGUGAGCGAUGAAGGCUUUCGGGUCGUAAAGCUCUGUUGUUAGGGGAGAACAAGUAUCAGUUAACUGCUGGUACCUUGACGGUACCUAACGAGAAAGCCACGGCUAACUACGUGCCAGCAGCCGCGGUAAUACGUAGGUGGCAAGCGUUGUCCGGAUUUAUUGGGCGUAAAGCGCGCGCAGGCGGUUCUUUAAGUCUGAUGUGAAAGCCCCCGGCUCAACCGGGGAGGGUCAUUGGAAACUGGGGAACUUGAGUGCAGAAGAGAAGAGCGGAAUUCCACGUGUAGCGGUGAAAUGCGUAGAGAUGUGGAGGAACACCAGUGGCGAAGGCGGCUCUUUGGUCUGUAACUGACGCUGAGGCGCGAAAGCGUGGGGAGCAAACAGGAUUAGAUACCCUGGUAGUCCACGCCGUAAACGAUGAGUGCUAAGUGUUGGAGGGUUUCCGCCCUUCAGUGCUGCAGCUAACGCAUUAAGCACUCCGCCUGGGGAGUACGGUCGCAAGACUGAAACUCAAAGGAAUUGACGG
rnacentral:rRNA from 1 species